rnacentral:rRNA from 1 species
UACGUAGGGUGCGAGCGUUGUCCGGAAUUAUUGGGCGUAAAGAGCUCGUAGGCGGUCUGUCGCGUCGGUCGUGAAAACUUGGGGCUUAACCCUGAGCUUGCGGUCGAUACGGGCAUGACUGGAGUUCGGCAGGGGAGACUGGAAUUCCUGGUGUAGCGGUGAAAUGCGCAGAUAUCAGGAGGAACACCGGUGGCGAAGGCGGGUCUCUGGGCCGAUACUGACGCUGAGGAGUGAAAGCGUGGGGAGCGAACAGG